GACGAACGCUGGCGGCGUGCUUAACACAUGCAAGUCGAACGGUAAGGCCCUUCGGGGUACACGAGUGCGAACGGGUGAGUAACACGUGGGUGAUCUGCCCUGCACUUCGGGAUAAGCCUGGGAAACUGGGUCUAAUACCGGAUAGGACCACUGCCUGCAUGGGUGGUGGUGGAAAGCUUUUGCGGUGUGGGAUGGGCCCGCGGCCUAUCAGCUUGUUGGUGGGGUGAUGGCCUACCAAGGCGACGACGGGUAGCCGGCCUGAGAGGGUGACCGGCCACACUGGGACUGAGAUACGGCCCAGACUCCUACGGGAGGCAGCAGAGGGGAAUAUUGCACAAUGGGCGCAAGCCUGAUGCAGCGACGCCGCGUGAGGGAUGACGGCCUUCGGGUUGUAAACCUCUUUCAGCACCGACGAAGCGCAAGUGACGGUAGGUGCAGAAGAAGGACCGGCCAACUACGUGCCAGCCGCCGCGGUAA
rnacentral:rRNA from 1 species